rnacentral:rRNA from 1 species
CAGAGGGUGCGAGCGUUGUCCGGAAUCACUGGGCGUAAAGGGCGCGUAGGUGGUUUGGUAAGUGUGUGGUGAAAGCACGGGGCUCAACCCCGUGUCUGCCACGCAAACUGCUGAACUUGAGCAUACUAGAGGCAGGUUGAAUUCCGGGUGUAGCGGUGGAAUGCGUAGAGAUCCGGAAGAACACCAGUGGCGAAGGCGGCCUGCUGGGGUAGGAGCUGACACUGAGGCGCGACAGCGUGGGGAGGCAAACAGGAUUAGAUACCCUGGUAGUCCACGUCGUAAACGAUGGGUGCUAGGUGCUUGGGGGAGCGACCCCUUGAGUGCCGGCGCUAACGCAUGAAGUACCCCGCCUGGGGAGUACGACCGCAAGGUUG